rnacentral:lncRNA from 1 species
AUAAGGAUGAAAUUCUAAUAAGACGCCUUGAUGCCGUCGAGCAUGACACGGAAAUUUCCGACGCAUACUUGGAUUUUGCGGAUGAACUCGCACGAACAGAGAGGGCGAUGGGACUGCUUUUGUGUGGCAUGGCGUGGCUUUCAUGCAGAACCAGUCGGACCUGACAACCUCCACGUUGCGUGUCGGCUGUCUUCUGCCAAAGCGCCAACCAUGGACAGAAAUUGGGAGGGCCACUCCAGCCGAAGGGCCCCGCACAAUUACACACUGAUACGGAUAUGGCAGACAGAGAGAGAGGUGUGGCACGUGAUAGUAACAUGCAAAUCGAACAAGUCGUGCUUGACACCCGACUCGAUUGAUCUUGUCCUGCCGUCAGAGUUGAUGCCCAUCAUUACGCCUCAAUCUGUCAACCUGCUCGUGAUGAUCUAUCUCGUCAUCCGAAGAGUGAACGUAUCAAUUCUUAGAAUAAUUUGAUUCUUUUAUUACUCUCUCCGGUGUUAUUAGCACCAAGCAAAUCACCUCGAUUCGUGGGAACGGCUUCGCCGUCUCCCGCCAAGAAGCUUUCCCUCGUCUGCCCCCGUAUGCGUGCACACGGUGAUUCGCCGUCGGCAAGUCCUAUCGCGAAUCUCCAGGACAGCGGUCGAUCACAAGCACGGAGUCAAAGCGGGAUGGUCAUAGACCACGCCGGAAUUUGAAUGCACCACGUAGGGCAGGAAGCAGGCAGGUGAGACUGGUAGAUCCGUGGAAUGAUGAUGGGAAGCUGUGUUGAAGAGAGAUGCUACUUACCGUGACCCAGUGAGGGAGUCCUGGUUGUGGCAAUGGCAGGAGGUGGAAGGACCAGAGAUUAAGUCAUGAAAUGCCCGCCCUUUCUGGUGCUGCUGGCAGUGUCCUUCUCUGUCUC